CUACAGGUCUUCCAUUUUACAGAAAGAAAUAAAGCAGCAAACAAAGGAAGCUAUUGAUAUACAAGGGCACAAAGCAAAUCCAGGACAGAGCAUGGAACCUAAACAAACUUCUUGUGUAUCUACAAAAAUAAGAAGAAGAUGACUGAACUAGUAACACUGAAUUUUCCACUAUCUGAAAUAUUUAAUGUAUUCCUAUUGAAGCUCUGGCAACUGAAUACUUGCAAUGGAGGCCUGGAGAAAUUUAAACAAGCAUUUUUAAACUUUGUUCCACAGAAAGAGUAUGGUGACCUGAAAGCAUGGGAAGUAAGAUGCAUUUGUAAAAAAAAUCAGUAAAAUGUACAUCCUAAAUCUUCUACAGUUCCACCAGUGUUCAUGCUCAUUCAUCAUGACUGGAGUAACACCCUACAAGGAGCAUGCUGAUCCUUGUGAAGAGUACAGGAGGCACAAGUACCACAGUGCCAACAGUGAGAAGAUGCAAGUUACUGAAUGGCCCAGCAGAGAAAGUCACUCAUGUUGACUUGGCCUGCAAGUCACACAACUACUCUGAUAACAAAGCCCAGGAGAAUUGAACAAAUGUGGGGGAAAUGGAAUAAUUUUUGCUAGAAUGCUUUAUUUGUGAACCACAGGAGUAAAAGGCAUCGUUUGCUUCUUUUAUCAAGCACCCACUGGCAUUGACCCAGUCAGUGUUGCCUCACUAAAUUAAUAAAAUUAUUGCAAGUAAUAUUCUGAAGGAGUUUUGCUCAAGUUGCACAUCUUGCUGCCACAUCAAAUAUAGCAAUGUGUGCUUCCUCAAACAAUUACAUUAUGCUCAUCCAUGCAGAAAUCUAAAAGCUCCCAAUAAGCUUGUACACGUAAUUCUAAAUAUUUCAAUAUAAAUUAUGGAUUUCUGGUAAGUCAUUUGAGCAACAUGUUAUACUGUCCUGCUUAUAAACUAGUUCUAUUUAUUUGGCAUGUCCUAGAUGAACACAAAUGGUGAACAAAAAGCCUUUUGUUGUCAAGCUUCACAAACGUGGAUUCAGUUACCAGCCGACUUAAGAACAAUUGAGAGCUUUUCCCUCUGCUCAUCUGAAAACAGCACCAACAAUACCUCAUGACUGAAAGUUAUUGUACAUGUUUUAAUUGCUAUUUUUACUUAGUUAUUUUCAUGUAUUGUUGGUUCACAUGAUGUUUUCACUCAAAUCACAACGCUUUUUAACUGUGUAUGAAUUUUGUGUCAAAAUUCUGAGCUCA